AAGAGUAAUAUUAUUAAACAAGAUUAAAAUAAAACUUAAUAUUAACAUCAUUAUCUGUCUUAAGUAUAUUAAUAUACAAUUCCAGUACUCCUAUAAAUAACAAAAUAGUAAAUAUAAUUAAAACUAUUACGAUUCAAUCGUCCUUUACCGCAAAAACGGUAAAGCAUUCUAAAAUUCUAAAUGUCAUUAAUGUCAAAACUGUCAUGUCUUUUUGAUAUGACAUGACAUUUAUUAGACAUUCAUAUUAUUAAUUCAACAAUUAUUACUGUAUUCCUUGUUAAAUUUGAAUUUCACGAAAUCAGAUCCAGAGCACCCUAUACAUAGCCACAAAUUCUAGAUUCCUUGCGUCCCUUCAGGCAGCCACACAUAAAUCCCUUUGUCUCAACGUCCUAUUUCACGGCAGCGGUUUGCUUAUCUGUCAGUUAUGUCAGAUGUAAAUCACGGUCCCAUUCGUCUAUGUGUAUUAUCUAUGUAGCACACAUUCUUGUCCGUCUCACUAUAUAGUAUAUAGUAACAUAAUUUAUUCAAUUCAUAAGAUUUACUUCAUGUUUUUUUAUCGGUCACAAAAUCCUGAUUAAAUUGUUGUUAUGAUUAUUAUUAUUAUUUUUAAAUUCAUAUAUUUCAGAUAAAAUAUAAAUUCUUAUUUAA